rnacentral:rRNA from 1 species
UCAGCUCGUGUCGUGAGAUGUUGGGUUAAGUCCCGCAACGAGCGCAACCCUCGACCUUAGUUGCCAGCAUUCAGUUGGGCACUCUAAGGUGACUGCCGGCUAAAAGUCGGAGGAAGGUGGGGAUGACGUCAAAUCAUCAUGCCCCUUAUGACCUGGGCUACACACGUGCUACAAUGGGCGGUACAAAGGGUCGCGAAUCCGCGAGGGGGAGCCAAUCCCAAAAAGCCGCUCUCAGUUCGGAUUGCAGGCUGCAACUCGCCUGCAUGAAGCCGGAAUCGCUAGUAAUCGCGGAUCAGCAUGCCGCGGUGAAUACGUUCCCGGGCCUU